CGGACUUCUCCAUCCUUGUCCUUGCCACCAAUUCCUUGCUUCCUCUUUACCUUCUCCACACCUCUACACCAGCCAACGUGUGUCAGAUACACGUUUCAAUCCCAGGAAGGAAAUUAGGAAGAGGAAAGAAACAUUCAUCUAACUUUUACUAUGUCCUGCCUCUUUGCAAGGUUCCUGGUCUGCGACAGGAUGGUCAAUAGCCUUUUGUCAUCUAGAACAUAAAGAAGAUCAAAAAGUUCAAGAGGCCAAGGCUAGAUUUUGCUCCUUUAUCAAACUCCCUGUGCAGCUCUAUGGCUGUGUAACACAGGCCACCAGGGACGUUUAGAAAGAGAGCAAAGGCACCACCAACUACUCAGUCGCACUUAAGGCUCCGAUUGUGAUUUAUCCGUGGCAAUAAUUCAAUCCAUACUCCUAAUUCAUGCAGCCUCUGGAAAGUCACUUCUCUUCCUUUGGGCUGAAAUUCCCUGCUCCACAAAACAAGUGCUUGUGUUAAGAACUCUCUAAAG
rnacentral:lncRNA from 1 species